UACGGUGUUUGAAUAUUGGGCCAUGCUUUACAAAGUGAUUUGAUAAUUGGGCUAUGAUCUGGUCUGCCGUGAGUAUGGGCCUCCAUGGACAUGCACAAAAAGAUAGAAGAAGAGCCUAAUCUCUUAUCCUCUCUAAUCGCAACCGUGUCCGGUGGCCGGCGCUCAGGGCGCCGCCGCCGACCAAGUGCGCGAAACUGUGCUAGGAACACGCUGCAGCGCCAAUGCUGCGUGUCCGUGCCCCCGCCACCAUGGUCGAGCACCAGCCCUUCGUGGCUCUCUCGGACGGAGCUCGUCGUGACGGGCCGGCGAGGAGCCUUGCCGCAGUAGUCGGGCGGCCAGGAGCUCGUGCUCCUUGGUUGGUCCAGCGGCAGCCAUCAGUGGCCAUGGGGGAUCCAUCUCCGGCGGACACCAAGGUUCAUACGUUCGGCUGAUCCAUUCCCCUAUAUAUGCAACUUCAUUUAGGUGCUCAGUUUUGCUUAUUGCAUCCGUGUUACAGUUCACUGCAAAAUUGCGAACCACGAGCGAUUGUUGUUGCUUUAUGCCUUUAGUAACCACUGAACCGGAGGGUGGGGCCUUGGGGGUGGGUGGGAUUUAUCACCAUUACCAUCUCUGAAUUCUACCUCAGUCAUUAUUCAUGCUCAGUCACUACUUUUGUUGCAAAUUCAAAGUUUGAAAUUUGAAGAAGUAAAAUUAGGACCUAAUGAUUUGCUUCCGAAAUAUCUAAUUGAGCGAUCCAACAGAUGAGGUGUCUUGAAGGUUUCUGCUGAGAUAAAGUCCAUGCAAAUAAUAGUAAAAGAAAUGAUCUUUGACUCAUGGACGGUGCCAUUUCAUUUUUCUGUUAUUUUCCCAAGCCAUAUUUGCUUUCAGUAUGCAUAACAGGGAUUACUUCUCAAUAUAGCGAUGGGCAACCCUCCUGCCCGUUUAAAGAAAAAAAAAGUUCUAUGGUACUGCAUCUCAAGUCUUAAUUAAAAUCCAGCGGCCUAUGAAAUAUUGAAAUGGAACUGAUUGAGCCUACUAAUUCAAGUCCUUCCUUUUAACUAAAUCCCCUUCCUUUUCUAAUGAAGUCUAACAUUCUUGCUAGUUACACUUUCCUUUGACUUUCAUCUUGCUCCUAGAUUGUUAGACAUCGUAUUUAAUUUUCUGUGAUCAGCUUACAUCUGGUUAUAAAGAUAACAAACAUUUUUUGGUACCUGCUAAUGAGCAUGAUCUUGCACUACUAAAUCUUCACCUCUUCCCUACCAGCAACUACUACAACCACGGUACUACAUUAAUCUUUUCUAGCAAUACAUGCACUCCCAGAUCCACUCAUGUAUAUUGAUUUAUUAAGAGUGAUGUUAAUCCUCUUCCAAGUGCAGAUUUUUCAUACAUUGUUGAGCACAUCAUGGCAGAGAUGGUGACUUCUUCCAAGUUCCUUGUCCGCUACUGUGUAGAUGAAAUAUUUUCAAACUUUAAUUACCCUAUCAUUGAUAGUUACUGAUAGAGAUUGAAAUCACGCAAAAUGUUCAAUGCAUUCAACUGAGAAUUCAGGAUUACAUAUAUAGCCCAGGAUCAAGGCAAUCUCAACCACCUUGUUUAUAGAAACAGAAUCAAGGGGGGAGAUUGCCGAUAUGGACCCAUGCGUGAUGAACGCAAGCAACAAGCCAGGCAACAGCCGUGGCAUGCAAGCCUAGCUAGGUUGCUAACAGUUACCACACUAACACCUCCAUUUUCACAUGACUUGACACACCUCUUCGUCUUUUUUUCCACAUGAUGGCGUUGUUGGCCAAGUAUAUUCACACCUGUAAUGAAGUGGAAAGUCUCGACAUUGACUUAAGGCCGACUUAUUGACUAAACAACAUCCCUUGGAGAGACCAAAGCUAAACCCCUCACUAUUGAAGUCAUCUAACAUGGCCAUCACUUUCUUCUCGCUCUUUAAGUUCUCAAUCUUCCCUUGCAGUAAGCAGGUUUACUCUCAAGAGUACAUUGGAUAGCUGUCUACCUCCUCCAUGCCAUUCAAUUAAAGGAAGGAAUACUGCUUGAACAUGGCAGAGAUAGUCAGUUCUGCAAUUGUCCAGGAGACAGUUAGCCAAAUCCUAUCUGGUCUUGCUCAAAAAUAUGAGGUGAAAGAGGAAUCUAAUUCGAGCAGAAACUUGGAGAGGCUAGAGAUGGCACACAUCAAGAUGGAAUCUGUGCCCACGUGACCGACAAAUGGCAAAUCACUGAUGUGCCACUACUACGGUGGCGGAGCAAGCUGAAGCGUGCUGCCCAGGAGUGUGGUGAUACGUUGCAAAGGUGCAAGCAGCGUGCCAUAGAAGAGCAAGAGAUCAGGCAGCGGGUGAGUCAGUUAUCAUAUCCCAAGCGGAUUGCUUAUGCUACCAAGUCAUUCAUCUCAUCUAUUACUCGAUCUAGUAAUGACGAGUCAAGAAGUAGUUCUACUGAUGUUGUUCAAAGAUUUGAGAGGUUUGCAGAUGGAGCAAAUGAAUUCCUUAAAUUUGUUGAGUUCAGUGGAACCCCACGGCAGUACAUGUUCUUCAACCAUCUCAUCAGCAGCCUUCUUAGAGGGAAGGCUCUUAGGUACCAAGCAUUUCAAGGAAGAAGAUUUUACUUCUUAGGCAUAUGACCCAUGAGCUCUCCGGAUCGUGGAGUAGAGGCGAUGGUAGGCUUUGUUUGCCAUGACUUCAGGGAACUUACAAAGGGUUUCAGGCUAGGAUUCAUGCUACGUCUGUCUGAAAGUACAGAUGUAUUCGGUGUUAUAAUCAAGUGCAUGCAGUCAGUCGCACCUCACUUCAAGUUUGCAGCUGAAGGUGUCAAGAGAGAGCUCAUCCAGUUGCCUAACCAGGAUUUUUCUUGGGUAACACAAUCUCCUUAUGGUGAAAGUGCAUACUGGUUCAAUGUCCACAACACUUUGACUCAAUGGUUUCGUCCAAACCCUCUCUGCUGCAAUCAGCAUGAGCAGAAUUUGAGCGUUUCAUCUAGAACCAACAAGACAGCAGCUUCAUCGUUGAGACUAUUGUCAAGUAUAUUUCCAGAGGAGGUUAUUUCAAUGUUUUUACAGUGCCAUGUCUCACUAUCUUAUGAUCAUAAAUACAUUCGAAGUUCUGGUGUUGAACACAAAGGAAGUAGUUCUGUGAAUUCAGAUAUGCCUCUCUUAAAGCUAGGAGUUUUGUUCUUACCACAUGACUCCCUAGAGGAUGUAGAGACUGAAACCGAGAGCUAUGCUUUGGAAGUGAUUGGUGAAGAGGUGCAGGAAAUGGUUCACAAGAAUGCAUGCCUACAAGAUAUCGAUGAGAAGUUGCUGCCAAAAGCCAUAGGUUACCUCUAUCAAAACAAAGAGUCAAGGAUGUAUCAAAUGUGUAUGAAGUCUAGCCAUGGCACUGCGAACCUUUGUGUGGAGAAGACAAGAAGGCGUCGAAGUAAAGCCUCCAGAUCACGGAUUUUGGAUAAAAGCGUAGUCCAACAGCGAGAUAAUUACAGCAUAGCAGGAUGGAAGGAGGUGGCCAAAGAGGACCUACUUAAGCUUUGGGUUGUGCGUUCAUCUGACAAGAUGGAAGGCUCGAUCUGAUCCUGCACCGGCCAUGCAUUUCUAUUUCUAUAUAUGAUUCGAGCGCGACUCCGCCAGCGGCCAGGACAUCCACGUCAGUGAAAUUUUUUUACAGCGUCCGAUGAUUAAUCUACGGCUUACUUUUACUUCACCCAUGAGUUACUGUUCCAGUAAAUAUCUCUUGCGACUCUUCGAGAGCUUUCUUGUUCCUCCGGCCUUUUCCAUGGCGCGAUCUCUGGUCCUUCUCCUAAAUCCAGCCUCCCUGUUCCAGCCAUCGCUCGCUUCAUCUGCUCCUUCCGCUCGGAGGCUGAGCGGACAGUGAAGGAGGUGGCGACGGCGGCGGCCACGGCGGUAGCAACAAGGAGGCCGGCGCCCAGCGGCGGAGCUCCUCGGCCGCCUCCCAGACUCGGCUCGCACAAUCCUAUCCAUGAUGGUUGAUUCCCGUGGAGCUCGAUCUGGCGCAGCCUCUCCACCAUGAUUUCCCCGGUCAACGGACGCCCCCCUUCCCCUCCGUCACCGCAUCCUCCACCUCCUCCCUCUCGCGGCCUCCGCUGCUGCUGCUGUAGCACUCGGAGCCGACGACAGCGCCACGGCUGUCUCCAAGGGCUGGAGCCUCCGGCGUCGCCGUCCAUGGUCUGCUCGGUGCUGUAGCAUGCGGAGCCGACGAGAGCCACACGGCCGUUCCCGAGAAUCGCGGCCUCCGCCGCUCAUGCUCCACUUGGCGCUGUAGCACGCAGAACCGACCACAUCCCAGCUGCCGGCGGCGUCCUUGCGGGUAGCGGCCUCCGCCACUGCCACUCACGGUUUGCUCGGCAAUAAUGGCGCAUGAGAGUGGUUGCUGUGCAUGGCGAACGGUGGCGGCGCGGUAGUGGGCAACACUGGCAAGCGACUUCCUUCCAAGCUGCAAUGGUCCAGGAAGACUAUCUUCCUCGCGAGCGGCCUCAACCUCGCAGGUGAGGUUUUUCUCCCGUCACAAUCCCCCCUCUUGCUGUCCACAACUCACGGAGACACAGUGUGCUGCCUCUUCCCAACCCAAAUCGGAUUUGCAGUCAGUCAAUUGAACUCGCCUCAGCCCAAACCGGGUCCUUUACCCUUGGAUUGAGCCCUCUGACUCACUUUCUAACCACUUUUGCUUCCGCAUCAAAUCCAUCUCCCAACUCUGUUCUUUCCCCAAUUUAUUUAUAUUCAGAUCCAACGCAUGCUUUCCCUCAUUUCUUGCUAAAAUCAGAACACAUUUCCUUUCAAAAUGGGUACAAUAAUCUCCAAUCCGUGACACUCCAAUCCGUGCAGGUACCUGCUUGCUCCAAAUCCAAGAAUCUCACACAUCGGUGGCCAGGCUUGCAACAAGGGCGGCACUGCAUGAGUUCUGGAUUUUUUGAAGGUAGAAGCUCUGAAUUAGUAUUGAAGAAGAAGAUGCAAGCACAGCUAGACCCAAUUGACAACAAGCAGGUUGAAUAGGAUGGCUAGGAGGUAGCGGCAUCUAUAUUUCACAGAGAGGCAAAUGCAAGUGAUGACCGUCAAAAAGUAAGAUGUCCUAUCAUCUUCAGACGAAGAUAUAGAAUAUAAAAGAGUUAAACGGUCACUGCCCUGCCUUUUCUUGAAAGACAAAAUUAUUGGCAUAGAUUACCUCUAUUAUCAGGAUCAUUAUAACAGCUGGCCAUGUAUCAUACAUGCCUCCGUUUCUUAAACAAAAUUUCUAAGGAUCCCUAACUUCUAGUUUAUUUUGAGAAGAUACUCUUCUAAACCGAGCUAUGCUCUAAUUAUAAUUUCAGAACAGUCAUUUUUGUUUCAGUGAUCCACUUCACGGCAACCAGGGCCAUGUGUGAUUCAUAUGUGUAAUGCAUUUGCUUUCCUGUGCAUUUAUCACAAGGUACUAUGCAUUUAGGUUCAAGUCGAGUUAUAGUGACAUUACACUCAGCUUUCCCAGUAGUUAAAUGGACUCCAUCAAUAUUAAGGGUCUGCAACUAAAUUGCUUUUAUGUAAGCCAAGUCUAAGACUAGAGCAUUUCUGGUUUGGCAAGUUACUAUUACUUCCUGUUCAUUUUUCCUUUUAGCAACAAAGAUUGAGUUAACCGUGAUAUAAAAUUUUCUACUGCCAUUUUCGGUGGUCAGCAUCCGAUCCCAGGAGCAAAAAUGCUAAGAAAGACAAGAGCACAUGGUCGCUGCAAGUUUUUUAUCUGGCUUGCUCUACACGAUCGCUGUUGGACUGCAGCUAGAAGGAAAAUUGAUACUUAAAAUUAUAACCUCAUACUUUCUCUCUCUCUCUCUCUCUCUCUCUCUCUCUCUCUCUCUCUCUCUCUCUCUCUCUCUCUCUCUCUUUUAUUUUGUAUCGAUGCUAUUCUGGACGAACAUGAUUCGAAUGGUGAGGUAUUGCUCUUUCUUUUGUGGGUCUAAGCUGCUGUCCCUAAUUAAGUCCAAGCAAGAUUUAAGUCCAUAGUACCAAUUUCAUGUAUGAUCAAAAGAGUAUGAAAUGGUAGAACAAGUUUGUUCUUUGUAUGAUCAAAAGAGUAUGAAACCGUUGAAAAAGUUUGCCCUUUGUCUGACCACUGACAACACGCUUCACUGCUUACUUUCCAGCUAUUGUGGUCCCAAGUGUGAAAAUGUUGACAAGGUAUGGAUACUCUUGUCUUGUCGAUCAUAUAUAUGGCCUGCAAUAGAAGGCCUCUUUCCCCAUGAUGACCUUGCACAUGUCCUGCAAUUUAUUCAAAUGACCUCUUGCAUGUGUUCUGCAAAUUACUCCAGCCACGUAUCAUGUGGUCUUGCGUCUUUUCCAGAUUUUCCUCUCACUGUUUAUUGCCACUGUAAUUUACAUGCAGAUCCAGCAUUGCCAUC